UGGUGUCUCGUACACCUGGCUCUGGGCAACGGGGAAUUAGGGUUCGAUUCCGGAGAAGGAGCCUGAGAAACGGCUACUACAUCUAAGGAAGGCAGCAGGCGCGUAAAUUACCCAAUCCUGACUCAGGGAGGUAGUGACAAGAUAUAACGACGCGACUAAAAAUCGCGAUUGUGGUGAGGGUAUUCCAAACCGAACCACUAGUACGAUUGGAGGGCAAGUCUGGUGCCAGCAGCCGCGGUAAUUCCAGCUCCAAUAGCGUAUAUUAAAGUUGUUGCAGUUAAAAAGCUCGUAGUUGGAUAACAAGGGUCGCAACGUGGAAUACACGCUUGCACCCUACCAGUCUUUGACUGUUACUGUGAGAAAAUUAGAGUGUUUCAAGCAGGCUAUUGCAGGAAUACAUUAUCAUGGAAUAACGAAUGUGUCUAGAAUCUUGGUUAAUUCUAGAUUACGAUUAAUAGGGACAGUUGGGGGCAUUAGUAUUUAAUUGUCAGAGGUGAAAUUCUUGGAUUUGUUAAAGACUAACGUAUGCAAAAGCAUUUGCCAAGGAUGUUUUCAUUAAUCAAGAACGAAAGAUAGGGGAUCAAAGACGAUC
rnacentral:rRNA from 1 species